AUGAACGCUAGCUACAGGCUUAACACAUGCAAGUCGAGGGGCAGCAUGGUCUUAGCUUGCUAAGGCCGAUGGCGACCGGCGCACGGGUGAGUAACACGUAUCCAACCUGCCGUCUACUCUUGGACAGCCUUCUGAAAGGAAGAUUAAUACAAGAUGGCAUCAUGAGUCCGCAUGUUCACAUGAUUAAAGGUAUUCCGGUAGACGAUGGGGAUGCGUUCCAUUAGAUAGUAGGCGGGGUAACGGCCCACCUAGUCUUCGAUGGAUAGGGGUUCUGAGAGGAAGGUCCCCCACAUUGGAACUGAGACACGGUCCAAACUCCUACGGGAGGCAGCAGUGAGGAAUAUUGGUCAAUGGGCGAGAGCCUGAACCAGCCAAGUAGCGUGAAGGAUGACUGCCCAAUGGGUUGUAAACUUCUUUUAUAAAGGAAUAAAGUCGGGUAUGGAUACCCGUUUGCAUGUACUUUAUGAAUAAGGAUCGGCUAACUCCGUGCCAGCAGCCGCGGUAAUACGGAGGAUCCGAGCGUUAUCCGGAUUUAUUGGGUUUAAAGGGAGCGUAGAUGGAUAUUUAAGUCAGUUGUGAAAGUUUGCGGCUCAACCGUAAAAUUGCAGUUGAUACUGGAUAUCUUGAGUGCAGUUGAGGCAGGCGGAAUUCGUGGUGUAGCGGUGAAAUGCUUAGAUAUCACGAAGAACUCCGAUUGCGAAGGCAGCCUGCUAAGCUGCAACUGACAUUGAGGCUCGAAAGUGUGGGUAUCAAACAGGAUUAGAUACCCUGGUAGUCCACACGGUAAACGAUGAAUACUCGCUGUUUGCGAUAUACUGCAAGCGGCCAAGCGAAAGCGUUAAGUAUUCCACCUGGGGAGUACGCCGGCAACGGUGAAACUCAAAGGAAUUGACGGGGGCCCGCACAAGCGGAGGAACAUGUGGUUUAAUUCGAUGAUACGCGAGGAACCUUACCCGGGCUUAAAUUGCAGAUGAAUUACGGUGAAAGCCGUAAGCCGCAAGGCAUCUGUGAAGGUGCUGCAUGGUUGUCGUCAGCUCGUGCCGUGAGGUGUCGGCUUAAGUGCCAUAACGAGCGCAACCCUUGUUGUCAGUUACUAACAGGUUCCGCUGAGGACUCUGACAAGACUGCCAUCGUAAGAUGUGAGGAAGGUGGGGAUGACGUCAAAUCAGCACGGCCCUUACGUCCGGGGCUACACACGUGUUACAAUGGGGGGUACAGAGGGCCGCUACCACGCGAGUGGAUGCCAAUCCCCAAAACCUCUCUCAGUUCGGACUGGAGUCUGCAACCCGACUCCACGAAGCUGGAUUCGCUAGUAAUCGCGCAUCAGCCACGGCGCGGUGAAUACGUUCCCGGGCCUUGUACACACCGCCCGUCAAGCCAUGGGAGCCGGGGGUACCUGAAGUGCGUAACCGCGAGGAGCGCCCUAGGGUAAAACUGGUGACUGGGGCU
rnacentral:rRNA from 1 species